GGGGGAAUAUUGGGGCAAAUGGGGCGCAAGCCUGACCCAGCAACGCCGCGUGAAGGAAGAAGGCUUUCGGGUUGUAAACUUCUUUUAUUAGGGACGAUAAUGACGGUACCUAUUGAAUAAGCUCCGGCUAACUACGUGCCAGCAGCCGCGGUAAUACGUAGGGAGCAAGCGUUAUCCGGAUUUACUGGGUGUAAAGGACGUGUAGGCGGGACUGCAAGUCAGAUGUGAAAACUAUGGGCUCAACUCAUAGCCUGCAUUUGAAACUGUAGUUCUUGAGUGCUGGAGAGGCAAAUGGAACUCCUAGUGUAGCGGUGAAAUGCGUAGAUAUUAGGAAGAACACCAGUGGCGAAGGCGAUUUGCUGGACAGUAACUGACGCAGAGGCGCGAAAGUGU
rnacentral:rRNA from 1 species